UAAUGAGAAGUAUAGUAAUGUGCACUUCAUAAAUUGAAUUGAGUCUGUAGGUUUGUUCUCUCUGAUGCCAUUUGGUUUUGAUUUUGGGGUAUGGUUUCACAACAAAACA